UUUAUGGGCCUUGAGCUCUCUGAAGCUGUAAACAAGAGGAAAAAAAAAGAGAAAGCGAGAGAGACUGGGGGAAAGAGACAGAGGCCUGACUCGCCCCUCCAGAUUGUGGGAGAGAAGGGAUUCAUACGUAUUUUCUUUGCCUUGCGAUCUCGGUGCGUGUGGGUUUUGGCAUCGGUCUGGGGGUGGUGUUCUGCCUGAAUGCUGGUGCGCGUGGGUAGCGUGCUGUUUGUGUGCUGGGGGAUAGGAGAACGCCUGCCUCAUUUGAAUGGCUGUGCAGGGGCCCGAACCUAAGAGGCAUUUGUGGGUAUAUACAUGUGAGUGAGUGUGUGCACCGUGUUAGGUGUGUGUGUGUGUGUGUCUGUGCGGUCCCCAUUCACUUGUGACAGACAGGCCUCCCUCUGGGCCAGGCUGUUGUCCCUUGAACCUGAUGAACAAAUCUCUAACAAUCAUAAUAACAAUAAAUAACAAUAAUAAAAGCAGUAGUUCAGAGUUCCACCCUAGUAGGGUAACAAUAAAAUGCCCAGGAGAUAUUUUGAGGAGGGGGCAGAGGAAGGGGUCACUAUCACAGGAUCUCAGAUGAAGACUAGAAAGGAAGUUAGCUUCUUUAAAUGCCCUGGGGGGCUGGCGCUGGGAAUCCCCUCCCUAGACGGAGCCCUCUGACCAGAGGAGGAGAGGAAGAGCCAGGAGGCCACUCUUUCCUGCUUCUUUUUCAAUUCUUUUGCUUUGAACGAGAAGGAAAGGGAUCCCACUUACAGGGUGGUUAGUAGCUUUGGGGAUUCUCUGGGAUCCCCUGUCUUAAUGAGAAGGCCAAAGGUGCAGGGUCAGGCCAAAGGACCGAGUUAAAUGAAGCUCUGAGCGCAGCCUCGAUCCCCGCGGCCCAGGCGGCAGAGGUGCCCAGGAGGACUAGCCGCGGGGCCGGGCGGGAAGCAGAAAAAUAUUUAUGGCCGCCGGGCCAGGAGAGUGGGGAGAACUGGAGAGCGGAGAGCGAAGGAAGCCGGGGUUUCUGCAGGCCCAGGGAAAGUUCCCUUCCUAGAGUCUUUUUUAAAAGAAAACGAAGGGAAGAGUUGAAGCGCCUUGAAUUUUCCUUCGGGAGCAUGGAGCCAAGCGGAUUUCCGCAAAGGAAGCGAAGAUCACAGUCCAGGGUCCGGCAGUGUCCGCCUCAUUCUCUCCAGGUACAGCUUUCUGACAAUUUUAUCAAUUAAUUUGUUUGGGGGAGGAGGGAGUCAGAGGUGUAGAGAGGUACGACGUUUGCGGGAGAGGAAGCCGCCAUGCAGUUUCGGGUCUAACGAAAUCCUUCUUUUAAAAAAAUUCUCCUCCCCCAAAAAUAAGAUCAGAAAGAAAAAUAUAUAAGAACAAAUAUUAACCAACUUUUUAAAAGAGAAAAGAAAAGAAAAUGACCAUAACCUAGGAGCAUGAGAACUUCUAAAAGAUUUCAAUCACAAACCUUUUCAGAGGUUUGGAUUCUUUUUCAACCGCCCGUGGCCCAUUUGGUCUGAAAAGAGAUACGCCAUCCACUGAGUCACCGCUUUAAGACCAAGGCACACAAAGAUUCCCGAGAGCGCCCUGGGCGUCCUCGAAUUGGGGAGGGUACUGUGAUAACACAAAAUAGCAAUCAAAUAAAAUAAAAUACAAUAAAACAGGCUGAAGCGCUGCGCGCAGGGCGCAGGGAGAACGCCCAGGUCUUGAGUUCCAGGCGGCCGCCGGCGAGGCCGCUGCUGCGGUGGGGCGCCGGCCGGCCACGCGCUGGCUGCAGACAACGCUCGGCCUCGGCCUCCCCAGCCCAGCUUGCGGCCCCAGCCCGCCAGCCUCCGAGCUUUUCAGGCUCUUUACGCUCAGAGACCGGGUUGGGGCUUCCCUGGUGAGAGGGGUUUUGGUUCCUAAAGAGGACAAAGUGAUGCAAGCCAGCUUCCGCUUUUCCAUUUUUCUCCCUUAGGCCUCUCCACUUGCGCAGCUCUCAGCCACCCGGAGAUGACCGAAGGGGCUUCUGGGCUGCGUUGGGAGCUGACACUGCCCCCCCGCCCAUUCCAGCUUGGCUUCCCAAAGUCCAGCGACCUCCAACCCUCCUUGGGGGAAAAAUUACCAGCACCCAGGCACAUUAGCCCCCUGUCCUGCGUGACCUGGUUCCCUUCAGAAAUAUUUUACCACGAAGAAGAAAGAACAGCUUGGAGCCCUGUUUACAUCUAGUUCUACUGAUCCAUUCACAUCUGGAGGGUUUAUUUAUAACACCCUCUAUAACUCUCUCUGUUUGGAAGCACUGGUGGCUCUAUUGACAGACUGAUGUCUACAAAAUAUUGCUCUAUCUCUAACCAUACCUAAAUGUGCUGUGGUUGUAUUUACAGAUUUAUGCUUGAGGAAAAUAUAAUUAUUUCCAUUGUAUUUGUGCAUAUACAAUAGUUAUAGGAGCAGAUUUAUAUAUGGGAAAAUAUACGACUCUCUUAUAGCCAUACAGCUUUAUGGACAUUUGAUAUUCUGACAGAUUUAUAUCCCUGAGCAGCUAUAUAGAUAAAUGUAUAUCGUUAGAAUUAUGUAUCAGCAGAUAUAUACUUAUUGAUUGUGAUAUAGAGUAGUUAGAGCACUCACUUAGAGACAUAUAUGGCUAUGGAGAUAUUUCUAUAUUAUUAUCACUAUAUAUAGGCAUAUCUAUUUAUAACCACAUAGUUAUAAAAAUAGACAUAAGUAAUUAUAGUCCUAUAUGUACAUGCUGCUAUCUCUCUAGAGUUAUAGACACUUUUGAAUAUAACUCUAUAGAGAUAUCCAUAUGUAUAUAAGGUGUAAUUAUCUCCUGAUGUGUGUGUGUUGGGACUUAGGCCAGUCUAUCUCUGAAUAGACAUAUUUAUGUGUAGGGGCUGGGAGAGACUUGUUCAGCGAGAUAACUGCAGAGGGCCAUCUGUAUCUGGCCAUCUAGGAAACUUGCUAGCAGAGUUCUUUAUUCAAGGAGGGAUGAAAUUACAAAAGGAUAAACAGAGCAUAGGAAGUGCCCAGGAGGGGAGGGAAAUGAAGGGUGAUGGGGCUCCCAGGAACAGAUAGACUGGGAGGAACAGGGUAAACACUGGGCACUCACCAGAAGGUGACAGUCGAUUUUGUGAAGGGCUGGCUGUGGACAGGUGUGGACCCUGUUACAAAGGGUGAACACUCCUACCACCCCACUGGGAGGCACCCUCCACUGAGGGAGCAGCCUCCUGUUAGACAUUUAGUGCACCAAAGGUUAACUUUAUUCUUAGCUCUUUUCUCUUGAACCCUAGUUUUUGAAAUAGUGGGCUUCAAACUGGAACGGUGGUGCAGGCCUGUCAUCCCAGUGACUAGAAAGGUUAAGGCAGGAGGAUCACAAGUUGGAGACCAGCCUCGACAAAUUAAUUACUGAGAUCCUGCCUCAAAUAGAAAAUAAUUUUGAAGCUAUAGCUCAGUGGUGAAGUUCCUGGUUUUAAUCCUUAGUGAAAGAGGGAAGGGGGAGAAAUGUUGAUGAAGGGUGAAGAGGUAUGGGAGGCACUGGGCAAGGAGGGGAGUGUACUUCUGCCACCACUGCUUUCUGGUAAUGCAGUCAGGAAAUUGAGGCAAUCUGGUCAAAUAAAGCUUGCUUUUAUGGGACUUCCUGUGCCCCAGGAGCGACUGUGGAUGAGAACAAGAGACCAGUGGAUUUGAGGAGUGAAUUUGUGAAUUUGGGGCCUGUUCUGAGAGGACUUAGAGAGGUCUUCUUUACCUGCCCCUUCUCCCAGACCUUCUCCCAGGGUCUCUGUUACCUAACUCGGCUCCACUGGCCUGUUCCUUCUUUGUUGCUUCUCCAGUUGAGGCUCCCUCUGGGUACAGUGGGGCCCAUCCAGAUCCAUAACUACCCUGCCUUGGGCCUUUUUGUGUAAAAUUUGACUUUAAGAAGCAGGGGAUACCAACCUAAGCCCCAGGGCCUCACUUGUUCCACUCAUAUCCACGCUUGCAGGUGCCAUUGGGCCAAGGCUGCACAAUUCUUCCCCUGCUACCAUCCAUCCUAGGGGAAACACACACACACACACACACACACACACACUCUUUGGUUGUUUUUUGUUUGUUUUGUUUCUGUUUUAACCAAGGAGUCCCAGAUAUCUUUGCUGAAUGGUUUGUGCAAAAGUUUUCCUAAACUCAAUCUGGGUGGCCAGCUCUGCCUCCAAGAUCCUUAGGAUGUUGGGAAAGGAGUUAAGUCACCUGAGAUGGAGUUAAAUGCCAUAUACCACCCUCCACACACCCCUACCCACAAAACUGGGAACUCAUCCAGGUUAAGGCCUCUUUCUGCUGCCAGGCACAGAGUGGAUUCCAAAUACACAAUGCAGUCAAUACAGAACCUCACCCUAACUCUGCAUGUCACUGACCACCACUGGCUAGCAGGUAUCUGGGCUGGAGGCAACUGGGCUGGGGAAUAACAUGGUAACUGGCAGCAGUGCUUGCUCCACCACCCUCUGCCUGUGGUUAGUAGGAUAGGAGAGUGGCUCAAGUGGAGGGGAAAGGAAAGUUGUGGGGGGCCAAGGCAGGCCUGCCUCCUCAGUGUACGUUUGCUCCAUUCCCUAUCUUCUGGGUCCCUAGAAUCCCAAAUUAUGAAAACUAAACCCUAACAAGACCUGGCCUGGGAAGGAAUUGCCUCUCUGUCUUGAGGGACCCAAAAAGGAACCACCUUCCAUCAAGAAAUAUACAAAUAGGAGCUGGGGUUGUGGCUCAGUGGUAGAGCACUUGUCUACAUGUGUGAAGCACUGGGUUCGAUUCUCAGCACCACAUAAAAAUAAAUAAAGAUCCAUCCACACCUAACAAAAUAUUUAGAUAAAAGAAAAAAGAAAAUUCUUUAAAAAAAAGAAAUUCACAAAUAAAAUAAAAAUAAGUCAGUGCAAGACAGUCUGGCAGAAGGAAAGCCCACUAUUUCUCAGCCCUGCUCCAGGGACACCAAACAGAUCGGACUUAAUACUUUAAGUUUUUAAUUUAGUAGUUUAAAUAUUUUUUGGUAAAAAAUUAACUUUAAAAAUCUCACAAUGGCCUGGGGGUGUGGCUUAGUACUCUUACACUUCCUGACACAUGCAAGGCCCUGGGUUCUAUCCCCAGCAACUGCAAAAUCAAUCAAUUGUUGAAUCAAUCAGCCAAUCACAAAUUUUCCAUUCUCAGAUGGCCCCUAAUCAGUUUGUUUUAUAUACACACACAUAUAUGUAUAUUUUAGUUGUCACCAUUAUCCCCUCUUUGUUCCCUGUUAAAAUUGUUUCUUCUUGGAGCUUGGGGCCAGGCAGUCACUGUCAGGGAGUGGAAUGAGAUUGCCAAGUUCCGGGUUCCCCAUCUAAUGAUUCCUGUCUGCAGGGAAGGGUCAGCCUUCCUCUCUCCCACAAAGGCUGAAAAUUGGGUGGAGCCUCCAGAUUGGUUCCUUUUAUCCUUAAGGCUCCUUAGAGGCGCCCACCCUGUGUCUAAGUGGCACAGUGGUGCAGGCUAAGGUUAUACGGGGACUGAAUUAAACCUGGGAUUCCACUUUCUAGCCCCCAGCCUUUCACAGCUUCCUCCUCAGACUCACAGCUUUAUUCUCCCCUCGCCACCAAUAGGUAGUGCCCACAGGGAUGGUCAUGCUUUUCCUAAAGAAAUGAAGGGAGGGCUGGGGCUGUGGCUCAGUGGUAGAACGCUUGCCUGGCAUGUGUGAGGCACUGAGUUUGAUUCUCAGCACCACAUGUAAAUAAAUAAAAUAAAGAUCCCUUGACAACUACAAUAUGUAGA
rnacentral:lncRNA from 1 species